UGUGGUACGUAAAAAUCGGAGUUCGUAUGCGAAAGUUAUAAGCGAAAAGGUAAAAUUACUGUUCAUGGUAACUUUCUAUAAAUAGGACGAGUUACUGUGGUAACUCGUCAUUUUCUCUCUCCCCGAUUUUCUCUCCCUCUUCCCCCGCGUCGCCCUCUCUCCUUCUUCUUCCGAUUUCUUCACCGUCCGGCGUCCGAUUGACGUGAUUCCAGUUGUCCUUGGACCGUCUCUUCCUCCUAUACACGAUGGUACCAGUGGGUAUCGGCGAUUUGGCCGGCAAACCCCGAAUUUAUGCAAGCAUUGUUACUGUAGCAGUUUGCUUCUCCGGCGAAAUUCUCCAGUUUCCGGCUAUCUUCGGCGGUGAAAUUGGCUCUAUUAGGAGCGCCUCGGGUCACUGAUCAUCUUCCCUCAAGACUUCUAGUUGGAAUUUCCACGUUUGGAAGGUGAAGUUGAAGGAUUUCCAAAUUUGUGGGUUUGGAGAUUUCCGGGUUUGUGUUCAUCGGCAAAAUUGGAGCAUUUCAAUGUAUUUUCUCACUUGGUCACAGUUAUGAAAAGUGCUUAGAAUGUUGAGAUGAUUCUGUGGUUGAAAUUUGGUGGCCGGAGGAAGAGUUGGCCGCCGCAUGAACAGUGUAGCUGCAUGAAUAGUGCGACGGUGAAUAGUGCGGUGUAUGAACAGUGAUUUAUAUUCUGUUUUUUUUUUAGCUAGUUAAAUCCUAUAAAUAUUGUAGAGCUUGUAUAUGAAAUUUGGUGAAUUUUGGAGAAGCUUGGAAUUAAUUAUGAAUUUUUGAAGUUUAGGGUUUCGAUUAUCGAAUUACGAGAAUCCGGCCGUCGGAUAUCUCUCGGUUCUGCCUUGGAACCUUUAAAUUAACGAAAUGGUAUUAGUGGUAAAAUUUGGGUUGAAUCAGAGAAGAAGUGGCGAGAUGAUUUAUGAGGAUUUGAUUUUGAGAAUCGUAUUUAAUUGUUGAAUAGUUAUUCACGAAUUAUAAUUGUGUACAGGGCGAUAUACCGAACUAUUGCUCGAUGAAGGAACUCGUAUGCGUGAUCGCCUAAAUAGUACUUUUGCAGGCCAGUUUAGCUUGAGGUCGAGCGUACUUGGGGUUGAGGCAUAGCUGUCAUAGCUUCCGCAUUAUAAAAGUAUCGGUCAUUUAUCUUGCUUUCUAUUCUCUUGUUCGCCUGUACAUUAGAUUGCUCUGAUAACCUAUGAGAUUAAUAUUCUUAAAUUCAGAAUUGUUUAUGAAAUGAGAGAUGUGAGAUGUUGUGAUAUAGGGAGCAGGGUGGCUCCAGGAGAAUAAGGAUGGAUGAUUUAGAA